UCGAGAAUCAUUCGCAAUGGGCGAAAGCCUGACGAUGCGACGCCGUGUGAGCGAAGAAGGCCUUAGGGUCGUAAAGCUCUUUCGCUUGGGAACAAGAAAGGCUGGCUAACAUCCAGCUAAUUUGAGGGUACCAGGUAAAGAAGCACCGGCUAACUCCGUGCCAGCAGCUGCGGUAAUACGGAGGGUGCAAGCAUUAAUCGGAUUUAUUGGGCGUAAAGGGCGCGUAGGCGGGGAUAUAAGUCAGACGUGAAAUCCCGGGGCUCAACCCCGGAACAGCAUUUGAAACUAUAUCUCUAGAGGGUAGGCGGAGAAAACGGAAUUCCACAAGUAGCGGUGAAAUGCGUAGAUAUGUGGAAGAACACCAGUGGCGAAGGCGGUUUUCUAGCUUACUCCUGACGCUAAAGCGCGAAAGCAAGGGGAUCAAACAGGAUUAGAUACCCGGGUAGUCC
rnacentral:rRNA from 1 species